rnacentral:rRNA from 1 species
GGUGCUAAUACCGGAUAAGAAAGCGGAUCGCAUGAUCAGCUUUUAAAAGGCGGCGUAAGCUGUCGCUAUGGGAUGGCCCCGCGGUGCAUUAGCUAGUUGGUAAGGUAAAGGCUUACCAAGGCGAUGAUGCAUAGCCGAGUUGAGAGACUGAUCGGCCACAUUGGGACUGAGACACGGCCCAAACUCUUACGGGAGGCAGCAGC